rnacentral:rRNA from 1 species
GCAAGUCGAACGAUGAACCGGUUUCGGCCGGGGAUUAGUGGCGAACGGGUGAGUAACACGUGGGCAAUCUGCCCUGCACUCUGGGACAAGCCCUGGAAACGGGGUCUAAUACCGGAUACGACGCGUUCCCGCAUGGGAUACGUGUGGAAAGCUCCGGCGGUGCAGGAUGAGCCCGCGGCCUAUCAGCUUGUUGGUGGGGUGAUGGCCUACCAAGGCGACGACGGGUAGCCGGCCUGAGAGGGCGACCGGCCACACUGGGACUGAGACACGGCCCAGACUCCUACGGGAGGCAGCAGUGGGGAAUAUUGCACAAUGGGCGCAAGCCUGAUGCAGCGACGCCGCGUGAGGGAUGACGGCCUUCGGGUUGUAAACCUCUUUCAGCAGGGAAGAAGCGUGAGUGACGGUACCUGCAGAAGAAGCGCCGGCUAACUACGUGCCAGCAGCCGCGGUAAU